GUGCUCGCUUCGGCAGCACAUAUACUAAAAUUGGAACGAUACAGAGAAGAUUAGCAUGGCCCCUGCGCAAGGAUAAUAGGGACAUUCUAAGGGAAAGCGCGACAUUCU